rfam:Planomicrobium sp. ES2 genome assembly, contig: CONTIG000001
UAGUGUCGCCGAUAACGAUGGUGCCUGAAAAGGCUCAAUAGGGAAUCCGUGAAAACCGGAGCUGUACCCGCAACUGUAAGUGCUGACGAACUAUGGAACACCACUGUCCAAUGGAUGGGAAGGCCAUAGUGUAGGAAGAAGCACAAGCCAGGAGACCUGCCUCGUUAUAAGUUUAGAU